rnacentral:lncRNA from 1 species
UUUUUUUGUUGUCUGCCCUUAAAAACUCAGGGUCGGCCCUGCAUAGACACUGCUGAGUUUAAAGCAAUCCAAAAUGCUCUGACUUCUAUGUUUAGUGUACUAUAAAAUAUAACUGUUCGUAUAAAAGAUUCUAACUUUUUAGCAAAGGGCAGCAAUCCAUUCGUUCACAUAGCUUGUAAAGUAAAAUUAGAACAGUUAAUAUUAGUUCAACAUACCACAUAGCCUUAACUACACUUAUGACUAAACCCGUAAACCCUUAUACAUAGUACUUUAAUACCUUUAAAUUUUAUCACAGUGGGCUCCAUUGUUGAUAAUUGUGCCCGAAGAUGAGAACGCUCUCAUAUACAACCCCUCCUAUUUCCAAAGGAAGAAGAAGAACGAGGGAAAAAGAACGAAUCCUUAAGGAGCAGCGCUGAAACCGUAGGGGAACCAAAUAACCUGAGGGAACCUGAAUACCCGGCUCAAGAUCCGAUGCAGACCCGAACCGCAGGGGAACCAAAUAACCUGAGGAAACCUGAAUACCCGGCCCAAGAUCCGAUUCCGACCCGAAUUGUACGAACUGUAAAUUUCCCAAACUGUAACUGCACGAACCGUAAAUCACUAACCAACAGCAGAGAAGCCCUAACCGUACGGUAACAGAAGCGACGCGUGCGGGCGCGUCCUUUCUCCAAAUAAACUGCCCUACCUCCGUCCAUCUUUGUGUUAGGUUUACACAGCCAACUAGCUUGCACGUAUUGAAAAAUGUUUUAUAUUAAGUCGGUAAUGGACUUGAAGAGUUUCUAAUAGGUUACAAAUGGUGUAACUGGACAAAAUUAACUUAACUCAAAAAUGCAUGGAGAAAUUAUUUUAACUCAAAUGAGUCAAAUGAGUGAGAUAUAAUAAAAAAUACGGGAAUCUAGAGGACUGAGAAGUUGAAAUUCAGCUACUUCAAAUCGUCCAAACAUCGAUCAGCUCAAGUCUCUCCUUCUUCACUUCCUCCCUUCGAAAUGUCGCAACACCACCAGAUCUACUGGUUUUAUAUGUGAGAGAGAAGAAUCCACUCUACAUCUUUGAGGUGGUCUCCACUCCGCCGCUGCCAAAAAUCUCACCCACCGCAGCCUAGAUAUACUACCAAACAGAUCAGAUUGGGAAACAGAGUAUGUAUAACUCUAGAGAGCAGCCGGGGAGUUCUUUUCGAGAUUUGAAGAGAAAGAGUAUUUUCAGAGUUUGAAAGGGCACACAGAUAAAGUGAGAGAAAAGAAGGGAUGGAAGACAGAUAGGGUAUGGGUUGAUUUUAGCUUACAUUGCAUUGCAUUAUUUUUAAAACGGGUCAUCUAUGGGCCAAAUAUAAAGUUAUUAUGAUACAGUUAAACUCAUAUUUUAAAUAUCAAGUUAUUAUGAUACAGUUAAACUAUAUUUAAUUUGUAUAUUUUUUUACCUUCUAUUUCUAAUAUUUUAUAUAUAUUCUUCCUCUCUUUAAAAAUAUAUUUUUACACACUUUUUUCAAAAAUUUGUACACUUACUUUCUUUAAAAGUUCUUCUACCAUCAAUUCUUUUUAUAUAUACUUUUCUCUCUCUUUCAAAAUUUUAUACUGUCCCUCUCAAUUUUUUUUAUGUUCUCUCUAAAUUUUUUUAAAUUUAAAAUAUUUUUUGUUUAUUAGGGAUGCACAAAAAGUUCGCGGCCUGGCCUUGGUUCAAGCUGGUCAAAAUCUAGUCUGGUGUAGAUUUGAACCGACUAGGCUCGGCCUGAAGACUGAAAAAAGAC